UUGGGUUGAUGAGGAUGUCCUACAAACCUUGGUGGAACAAAACCCCAUCAUAACUGUUGAGGAACUAGCAGAGAAGCCUGGAUUUCGUCAUUCAACCAUUUAUCAACAUCUGCACGCCAUUAGAAAAGUCAGUAAAUUGGGUCAAUAGG